UACGUAGGGAGCAAGCGUUGUCCGGAAUCAUUGGGCGUAAAGCGCGCGUAGGUGGCCAUGUAAGUCCGCUGUGAAAGUCGAAGGCUCAACCUUCGAAAGCCGGUGGAUACUGCAUGGCUAGAGUACGGAAGAGGCGAGUGGAAUUCCUGGUGUAGCGGUGAAAUGCGCAGAUAUCAGGAAGAACACCCGUGGCUAAGGCGGCUCUCUAGUACGGUACUGACGCUGAGACGCGAAAGCGUGGGGAGCGAACAGG
rnacentral:rRNA from 1 species